CUAUUUGUUGCAUGUUUAACAUCCUACUGUAAUUAGAGUUCAUAGAUUAUUCAAGUUGAAGUAGAGUGGUUGUGUAUUGCAAUGACAGCUAAAGUUUUAUGUCAAACAACCACAUUUUGACAGCUGUGAAGUGUUCUUGACGUGCACUUCAGUCCCAUAAGGCCACGUGCUCAAAAGUAUUAGUACAGUACAGUAUCCACGUGUUUUGCCAGCGUGAUGUCGGAUCAGAAAGAAGACCGUAAUAAUGACCAGGACGACGACUUUCAGCCGCCAACAAAGAUGAGACGCAUUGGUUCCAAAAAGCUUACCACUAGUACUAGCCAGCUUGACAGCAGAUUUGCUGAAAAGAGAAUACGGACAAAGUACACGAGUACAGCAAGGGUACGAUUUGCAAGAACACUGUCUGCAACAGUUGGGUGAAGUGAAUAUUUGAAGGUACCGACAGACAUACUUUCUCUCAACGAAGGAUUCGCAACUAGAUGCAGCCAAACCACAGACGGAUUGUCAAAAAGUCUGUUACAUUUACGUUGAGCACGGAUCCAAAAAUCAUAGUGGUGGACUAAGUGAUUUACGGCAUCCAAACAAAAAUGUCACAAGAUACGCUAAUGAAGAAGCUGGUGACCGUUGCCACGUAAAAAUUUUGGAUCUCUAUCUUAGUAAGUUGCCAGCAGGAUUUUCUCGAGAAGCCUUCUAUUAUAAACCUUUGUCGUCUACUCCUUCAUUUGGUCCUUGGUAUUCGAAGCAAGUAAUCGGUCAUAACACGUUGGCUACAAUGAUGAAAGUGAUGACAGCUGAAGCUGGUCUUCCAGUUCGAACCAACCCCGCUCUUCGAGCUACUAGUGCGACAAGGCUGUUUCAAGCGGGAGUUCCUGAACAUGUAAUUCAAGGCAGAACCGGCCACAAAACCUUGCAAGCACUGAGACAAUAUCAAGAGCCAUCUGAAUUGCAGCAAAUGGCAGCGUGCAAGGUUUUGGACAAUGGCCAUGGACACACCGAUCACACUGACGCAAAAGUCAAGGAGUCCGGAGAGACAACGGAACAGGCAGAUGAGCUGAAAGUAGUCGAGGUUGAACAGCCGUCUGAAACGGGAAGACAGAAUCCGGCGCCAUUUGUCAUUUCUGACUGCGUCUUUACAAACUGCAGUACUGUGAACAUUAUUAUUGGUAAAGAAUAAGCUUGUAAUCUAAAAUAGGUAUGCCCAUGUAUUGAUUGCUAGUUGGUUUGCAGUAUACAGAUUCUGACCGGUCAAUAUACGUUUAUUGACCACAGGUCAAUAUACGUUUAUUGACCACAGGUCAAUAUACGUUUAUUGACCGGUCAAUAAACGUUUAUUGACCUGUCAAUAUACAACAUGUGGUUGGGUUGCUAUGGUAGGAGUGUA